rnacentral:lncRNA from 1 species
AGACUUUGAAGGCAGCCUUUGACCUUGGAAAGUACUGGAGAGACCAGUGUCAAGGCUCAGCAUUUGGCCUGUGAUGGCAGAAAUAAAACUACCAGGAUCCACCAGGCCACCCAGCCCGGGUGUGGAGACUAGACGCACAGCAACCUAAGGCUGAUUUAGGAGAAGCUCAGAGUGCGGGUUCAACAGCACCAAGCCCAAGCGUGGCAAAAAUGUGGCUGAGGUUUUCUUGAGCUUAGCACGUGUUGGGAUUUUCGGAUCAUCAAAGUGUGGCUGCUACGGGGUUUCACUGAACGCUGGAAAGACCAGUGAGUGAGAGAUCAUUUUCCUGAAUAGGUCCUCAUUUUAGCUGAAGCUCUUUCAUUUUGGAAAAGAGAUGCCUGAUGCAACCACAACAUACCAAGGCAGGGAGGAAAAGAGUAUGUUGAAUUCUCGAACAGGAAAGAAGUCAUUCCCACUGCCGUUUGUUGGAACUACAACAAGAAGCCAGACAGGAGUAAACACCUGUUGGUGACCUUUUUUCACUUGUAAACAAAAGGAUUGAUGAAUACACGUCUGAAACCCGAGAUGUUUGUGAGUUGAGAACUCCUGGAUGGAAAAUUUUACAAAUGCUGUCCCACCUCAGAUACAGAACGGGUCUCACGGCAGCCGCCCACCUAGAACGUGGAGCCACGGAUCUCACAUUCCUGGUCUCUCCUGCACGUCAGCGAGGUGGCAGGUCUCCGUGUGUACCACUUACUUGCUAACUGUGUGAGAGGAAGAGGCCUUUGCACAACGUGGAAGGAAAUGGCCGGAAACAAGGACACACGGGUUCCAGAGUUCAUGUAAAGUACAGAACGUUCAGGCAAGAGGGUGAAAGUGCGUGGGUGGGUUUUCAGUUCACAAACUAUCUUGCUCUAGAAGAGAAGAUAGACGCUCCUUGUUGGUCCAGGAAAGACACAAAGGUUUGACGUAGCAGGAAAUGAUCCCUUUAAAGAAAACCUUUAUCUGACUGAUCCCAGGCUGCAAAGUGAGAGUUUUCCAGGAAGAAGCCACCUGGGGGCUGUGGUCUGCAGCCGUAUUUUAAAGGCUGAAGUACAGUCUUUGACAAAACUCACUCAUUUUUUUCCCCUCAAAGAUCUUUUAGGGGGUUUAACAAAACUUUAAAUUUCACUGAAGACAGGAAAAUACAGGACAAACUAGAGCUGCCAAAUCUUUGGUCAAGAGAAAGGUUUUUAUUGUGACUUUGCUCUUCUCGGGCCUCUCCAACCCAACCAGAAAAAAACCCCAAGACACAGGGACAAUGAGGCCGCUGCUCUCUGAGCCCCGGGUGCUUCUUGCUUCCGAGGAUACGAGGUGCUGAAAGAUGCCGCCUCGACUCCAGAUGAUGCCUCUAGAAGCCGAGAGCCGUCCCGGCUGACGGCCAGCAAGGGCACUGGGGCCUCAGUCCCACAACCACAGGAACUGGAUUUUGCCAACAGCCUCGUAGCUUGGGGAGGGCCCUGAGCCCCAGGCAGGGGCGCAGCCUGGCCAACAGCUUUCUUCAGUUUUGUGAAACUCUGAGCAGAGGACCUGGCUCGGUUGGGCCUGGACUUCUGACCUGCAGAAACUGUGGAGAUAAUGAAAGAUUGCCAUUGGAAGUCACUAAAUUUGCGGCAAUUGUUUAUGAGCAAUGGGAAACUGAUACAGCCCUCAAAAAAAAGAGGUGAGAUUUCAAUCUUAUGUCACCAACUAAGAGUCAGUGGAAGGACAGGACCCAGAGGGCCAACUGUCACAAGCUAUCUCUAAGCAACAUCUAACGUCCUCAGGGUCCUCAACAGUGCGCCUUUGCUGCAGCACUGCCAAAGGUCACUGCCGCCCUCCGGACAUGCACAUCAGCGCAACAGAUGCUCACAGCUCUCUCGCAAGCUGCCUCGCCCUUAUGAUGAACCAGGGAGCACCUGUUUCCCUCACUAGGUUAUGACCACCGUGCAAAGAAUAAUCAACUAAAAUUCUAAUGUUACUGGGUCUCAUACCGCAGCUCACAGUGCAGCAGAGACAGAGAAGAAGGAAUUUCUUUAUCUUUUGUUUAACUGAACUUGCUCUCCACCCAAGUCCCCACCCACGGCUAAGUGGGAGAAAACUGCCUGUCCCAUCUGACUUAAAGCUGCAUAGUGAGAGUCCCUUGGCUGUCCUAAGCCACUGUGGGGUGCGGCUGCUCAGCGGCUCAGCUCGCCUGGCCGUCCGCCUCGCUGCAGCACGGCUAAGAUGCUGGGAUCUCAUCCAGGUGUGGACGGGGGAAAGGCUGCGGCUUGCUCGCUCCCAGUUGUGUUGAUGGGUCACCAAUGGACCGCUGGCCUCACGGGGGUGCAUGGGUGCACUGGCAGGGGUCUGCACAUCUCCAGUGGGCACUGCUUGUCCAGGCAGCCCUGUUGUCCUUCCAGGCUGGAAUCUUCAGCUGGCAAACUCUGGCUCCAGGGUGUUCUGGAAAAGGACUUGCCCUGCGUUUCCUGCUCCCCAUCUCUGCUCCUCUUCGAGUGAGCUGCAGACAGACCCUGGGUUUCUGCUGUUUCCCUCAGCUCCGGGCCUGGCCAUGUGCUGCAGCCUUCACCGUGGGGUCCCCUUGCUUUGUCACAGCAGGCCUGUGGCAGACCCUUGGGCUCUCAGAGCGGCAUCCUGCAGGCGAGAAAAAUGGGGGUUCCGACUGUCAGCUGGACCUACCCUGUCUGCUCACACCCGCCCACUCUCUUAAGGACCAAGAGGACCACGCGCUGGCCUGGCCCUUCUGUUCCGCCACCUUCUCCCUAAGAUCCAAGUCGGCACGUUGGGCAGGCCCCCCCGAAGUGAUCCCCUCACUUCAUCUAAAAUAUGUACAGUCAAUCCUCACUAUCAGCAGAUUUUGUAUCUGCGAAUUUGCUUACUCACUGAAAUUUAUUUUAAUCCCCAAAUCAGCACUUCUGCACUUUCACGGCCCUUUGUGGAUGCGUGCAGAGUGGCGGCAAAUUUGAGUUGUGCACGUUCCCAGUUGAGGACAUACGAGGUGACACCCUACCUUUCAUUUCAGUGCUCACACGUAAACAAGUGUUCUCAUGGUCUACUCAGUGCGUGUUUUCCAUAGCUGUGUGCCUGGUGUUGGUGAUUUUGCUGUGUAUAGUGGCCCCAGGUGACGUGCUGGACGGCUGUGUUGUGUUCCUAAGAGCAGGAGGCCUGCGGAUGCCUUACAGAGAAAACCCGUGUGACAUGGACUGAAGGUCUGUGUCCUCCAGAAAUCACGAGUGGACGCCCUCACCUCCGGGGCGGCUGAAUUUGGAGAUGGGGCACCUGAGGACAGGCCAGGUCCAGUGGAUCAGGGUGGGGUCCUGACUUGUCUUGUAAGAAGAGACGAGAGCACUCUCUCUGGCCUCAGAGGAAAGGCUAUGAGAGGACGCAGAGGCCAUAUAAAAGCAGAAGAAAGCGCUCACUGGAAACCUACGGUGACCUUGGUCUUGGACUCUCUAGCCUCCAGAACUGUGAGAAAUAAAUUUCUGUUGUUUAAGCCUCGCAGCAUGUAGUAACUCGUGGCAGCCGCAGCCGACUUCCUUCAGGCCGGCUCUGUGAGGCCUUGGCUGUGAGUUCUAUGCCAGCGAAUCAACAGGGUCUAUUAAAGAAAACAGAUACGCGCAUAAAGCAGGGUUAUGCUCUCAUUCGCUAAUGAAUUAAAAACUUCACCUCCGUGAAAGAUACUGUCAAGAGAAUGAGAAGACAAGACACAGACUGGGAGAAAAUAUUUGCAAAGGGCACAUCUGAUAAAGGACUAUUAUCCAAAAUAUACAAAGCACUCUUAAAACUCAACAAUAAGAAAAUGAACAACCUGAUUACAAAAUGGGCAAAAGAUCUGAAUAGAUACCUCAUCAAAGAAGAUAUACAGAUGGCAAAUAAGCAUAUGAAAAGAUGCUCCACAUGGUUUGUCAUCAGGGAAAUGCAAAUUAAAACAAUGGGAUACCACUACAAACCUGUUAGAAUGGCCCAAAUCCAAAACAGUGACAACACCCAGUGCUGGCGAGGAUGUGGGGCAAUGGGAACUCUCCCUCGUGGCUGGUGCGGAUGCAAACGGUGCAGACACCUUGGAAGACAGUUUAACAGUUUCCUACAAAACGAAACCCACUCUUCACACAUGAUCCAGCAGUCACCCUCCCGGGGAUUCACUCAAAGGCCUUGAAAACUCAUAUCUACACAAGCAUCUGCGUGUGGAUGCCUACAGCAGCUUUAUUCAUUAUUGCCCAACUUAGAAGCACCCGCACGUCCUUCAGUAGGCUGGAAAUCCAAGAUCAAAGUGUUGGAAAACUCAGUUACUGACCCACAGCACAUACAGCACCAGGAGUGAAGCUGGUGUGAACUGUGCACUCAGGGGGAGGACGACGUGUGAGCACAGGUCAUCGAUUGUAGCAAAGGUACCGUCUCGGGGACACUGAUAAUGGGGGAGGCCGUGUCCCUGGGAGGGCAGGCGGCUUAAGGGAGCGCACUGUACUUUCCCCUUCAACUUUACUGUGAACCUAAAACUGCUCUAAAAAAUAAAAUCUAUUUAAAAGAAAAAAAAAAUGUGACCAGCGGCUCACAAGCACUGACCCUGUAUUUCUCCCAGGACAAUGGUCCAGGAUUUGCUAGGUCAGUGUUUGCAGUGAUUUUAUAGAACAGACUCCAGUGAACCGGGAGAGUGGACGGGAUGUGGUCCCAUUCUGGGCCAAAAGCCAGGACGGGGCAGAGGGGACACUCGUCGGCCCUCAGCCUCCUGCACUGCACUUCUCCUUUCCUCUCCUUCCCCCUUCUCUGGGGUCAGAAGGAGACAGGCCCUCCCCCGUGCACACCCUCCUUCGCUGACCCAUGUCCUAUUCCUGAAGGACCUCGUGUGAAGCUCUGGGAUCUGCUGGCCCAGGCAGGCUGACUGCUAAGACCCAGGACAACGUCCUCUCGGGUGUCAGCUGAGUUCAUAAAGUUGUGCUGGGCAUCAAAGUCCUACAGUGGGGUGCCGGGAGACGAUGCUUGUCUUCUCUCUGGAUUCCUUCCUAGGGUCUCCCUGGUCUCCUUCCCUCUCCCCUGCCUUCCUCACCUCUAGAAACUCCAGGCCAACGAGGAAAAUGGACAUGCUGGCAAGGCAGAAAGAGCAAAGUCCAGUGAUCACCUGUAACAGGUGUCCUCAUUUGGUAGACCCUGCACUCUGCCUGUGCGCAGGGCUCGGUGACGGACUGCACCCGGGUCAGAAGCUGUCAAGUUAGAACCAGGUGCGGUUGCCACACCCCAGAGGUCAGGCGUUGAUCGUGUCUUUUCCCUUCCUUCUUCCUCCUUCAGUUGACACACCUCAGUGACCCUGUAACCAAUAUCCCAUCAAGGAUUAACCCCCACACAUGCAAUCCAUCCCGGCCGCACCUUCUCUAUCCUAUUCUGGAAGACUGCCCGCUCCCACGAGCUACCAGCUUUCCAGAAACCACGCGGCUUUCAUCAGAUACCCUCACGUCCUUUCCUCUUGUCAGUGGCACUUGGAAAAGUGCCCCUAAGAACCUGAAAUGAGACGGCACCCUGCACAUUAAAUAAAGAAACCAGCACACAGAGCCUCACAGCCACAGAGUGCAACCUUACUGCAGGACCAUUGCUCAACUCCAGGGAAAGAAGUCACCCAGAUAAAGAAAAAAGGGGUGUCAACCAGAAAAGGAAUUAAUCAGCCGUGAACACAGAGGGAAAGGAGACUCAAAAGGCAUGUGCCAGAGAAGGAGGGACUCUGUCAGUGACUGCGUGCUGGGUCUGUCUGGCAAGUCCAUCUAUAACAUGGAAGUGGAUCCACCAGGCCAUUGGAGCCUAAUGCCACUGUGCCCAACCACCUGGGUUGUCACCCAAGCUUACUGAGCAACUUGGCAAUUACGUAGCUCGUCUAAAGGAAAGAGUGGGCUGCUGUGAUUGUGAAAUGCUAAUUAGCUUUCUAACUUUGUAUAUUGUCAUCUUCCGGGCCUUCUUUGAAUGAGUCAGCAUCUCAAGUCUGGCCAACCCUGGGACACUUACCAGAACGUUUCUGUACCUACAAGAUUUGAACCAGAUUUGGGGAAGUGGUGUGGGCGCCCUGCCUGAGAUCUUUGUCCUUGUGCAGGGAGCAGCCUGACUGCUUUCCUCCCUGAGCAUCACAGCAGAGGAGCAGCAAGUGUGAGCCACAGGUAUUUUAAAAGGAUUUGGUUCGGAAAGUGAUUCUGACCCCAUAACCAACCAUCAGUCCUGUGGGGUUCUUCAUUUGUUGUAUGACCCACGUCAGCCUUGCUCUUGAUGAUGAGGCUCUGGCUGUGACUUCCAACCGUGCCCUAGAGACUCCAGCUGGCCUGUUUCUUCCCGUUCCACUGGAAGUCAGGACCCUAUUGCUUGGAUUUUCUUCUAUGAUCUAGAUGAGGAUCCAGUCACACGAAACCUGUGGAAAUCAUUGGGAAAGGCUAAAUGUUAGCCAGCUAUCAAUUGGUUGUAAGCCCUUGUAUCUUUAUAAACAAGAAGGGGCCAUCUUGAGAAUAUUAUAUGUCUGUUCCUAGGUAGGAAACUUAACAAUGUCUGGACCAUUUUAAUAAUUGGUGUUUGAUGUCCUCAAACACCUGCUUACAUGGGCCAACAUUAGCUUCUGGUUAGUAAGAAGUUUCACCUUAUCAGCCUCUUAGUCGCCUAAGUGAGGAGCUGGUGCACGGAGUAACCUCUUUUUGUUCUGGGCUGGUUCUUUGCUCUUGCUGCCAGAAUCCCUAUUUCAAAUUUCGAGGAGGUGCAGGCGGUCCACCAGUUCUCAGCUCCCAUGAGGGAGGUUAGCGUGGGAUUCCUUGCCCCCUCCACCCACCCGACUCCCAUCGGUCACCCCAGCACUAAGUCAGAGCUCACUGUCAGGUAACUUAGAGGACCCUUGUUUGAAAGCAGUGGUGUUAUCAAUGCGUAUCUUAUUUUUAGGAAAAUUUUUAACAUCUUUGGGGGAAAAGUGGCUGACAAUAAUCCCUUUAUAGUAAGAUCACAGUUGCUGCCACCUGCAAUGCCAUUAAUGUUUAGUCUGAUAAUUUUCCAGGGCAGAAAAACCCUCCUGUAAUGUACCUAAUGUUCUAUGCAGAGAGGGGAAUCUUCCCUGACCUAUGGAAUACGAUAGUGACUUAUUCUUAUUGUGCUUAGCUGUGAAAGUUACUUCUCUAAGCUCGAUUGGAAUGUAUGUUUAUGAGAAAUGGUACCCAUUUAAGCAGAUUAUAAAACAAUACUAAUUUUAUCAUUUCAAAUCUAGGGUUCUACGUGAGAUGUCUUCUAAAGAUUAAGUAAUUUUAUGCUUGAUUUAUUUAAAAAGUACAACUUUAUAAAGGCAACACAAGGAAUUUUUAGAAGAUGUAAAUAUUUUCAAAACUCAUGAUUUUCCUCCAAUACGUGGUUUUGACAAAUGAAACAACUUACAUGUUUUCCAAGCUGAGGAGUUGGCCCAUAGUAUAAGGGAGCAAACAGCACAAGAUAUUUUCUUUGACAGGUAAAUUUAAAAAUUUUAUUUCUGACUUUUGGUUCAGCUCAGAACUUAUUUUUUUUGAGGAAGAUUAGCCCUCAGCUAACAUCUGCUGCUAGUCCUCCUCUUUUUGGUAAGGAAGACUGGCCCUGAGCUAACAUCCGUGCCCAUCUUCCUCUACUUUAUACGUGGGACACCUACCACAGCACGGCUUGCCAAGCUGUACCAUGUCCACACCAGGGAUCCCAACCAACAAACCCCGGGCCACAGAAGUGGAACUUGGGAACUUAACCACUGUGCCACCGGGCUGGCCCCUCAGCUCAGUACUUGAUUAGCAUCUUUUGGCCAGCGUUUCUGGGAGCAAAAUAAAUUCUGC